AAGUCGUAACAAGGUUUCCGUAGGUGAACCUGCGGAAGGAUCAUUAGUGAAUAACCGCCUGCGUCUUCGCUUCGGCAAGACGCUCGCACUCACAUCCAUAACACCUGUGAACCGUAAGGAAGUAGCUCGCAAGAGCCUUCCUGCCCCUUUUAUAAACUAUCAGUAGUAACAAAAAGUGGUAUUAUUAUAAUCUAAUAAAA
rnacentral:misc_RNA from 1 species